AUGAACUCAGUACUGUGUACCCGGCUGAGAGCAAUGGCAUUUGGGAACUUCGCAGACCUAAGCAGACAGUUUCCUCUGUGGAGUACAACCCCUGAAAGCAUAAAGAAAAUAUUGAAAGAGAUCCCAAGGAGAAUGAAGCAAUCAUUGGAGGUAUGUGAUUUUGAAGGUCUGCUUCAUUGCAGAUGUCUUGAAAACGACACUUGUGACCAAUGUCCCCAGUGAAAUCCUCCUUCUAUCCCUGCGACAAGCAAAGCAUGGGCAGUCAGAGCAUCCUGCCCUCCCUCCCUCAUCCUGCUUUCAUCACUUCGGUUCCUAUCACCUCUCCCAGGGUACUGUUAUCGAGACUUGAAGAAAUCAAUAGGAUUACCAACCAAGGAGGAAUUUCAUUCUCACAUUUCUUUUAGAUUCUCGGUCUAAGAUUUGCUUAGAUUUCUAGUUGCAACAUCUGCUGAUUGCUUACAGCAGAGGGCUUUCAACUAAUCCAGUGUUUCAGCAACAGAAAAUGAAUUAGUCCUUUUGCCUAGCCUCCAGAUUGUGGCAACUCAGCAUAUCGUUCUUUCGGCUAAGGACUGAGUAACCAUUGCAUAUUGAACUUGGGAGAUGAUGAGAUUGUGAUUUAAAUCUGUUAAUUCCUAUACUUGCUAAAGAACCACAGGAGUCUUACAGCACGUAGUACAGCAACAGUUAAGCGUACUGUAAGAACAACCAUGCUGAGGCGACUUUUGGUAAUGAUUAUUUGGGAUAUGAUGAUGGGCACAUUUAAAUCCAUUCUUCUGGUGUGUUUUCCUCCAAAGGCAGCAGGGACUAGUGAAAAACUGUGAAGGAAAAGUAUACAUCUCUUUCAGAAAAGAUGCUUUAACCCUCUUCUGCCCCAGAGACAAAUGAUGGCUUGAAACUGUGUCACUUUGCAGCUGUACGCAAGGUAGGGGAGCCAGCAGAAGACAAAGGGAGUGUUUCCAAAUUCUUCUGCACCACUCUGUUCUCAAGGGGUGGGGACUAAAAUUCUUGAGGAGGAGCAUGUGCAAACA
rnacentral:lncRNA from 1 species